rnacentral:lncRNA from 1 species
ACCCCUGUCCGUCUUUCUCUCUAGAUCUGUCCACCACCGAUGACAGCCACCAACAACCACAACUUUCAACAUCACCCACACCAUCACUGAGAGAGAGAAGAGAGAGGGAGACACUUUCCCCACCACCACCGCCACAGCUCCGCCACAACUCCGCCACGAGCCACCGUUCAAUCUCCGAUACCGACUCUCAACUCGACGAGUUCCACUCUCCUCUCCCGCGCCGACUCGCCUCUCCGCUCCGACGACAUCAUCUCCUCCACCUCCACUUCCACUUCCACCACCAUCGUCACCGUCGACAAGUUCCGAUCCCCGAUCAGAUCUCCUCUUUCCGGUAUUGUCAAUGUCACGCCGUUGGCCAAAUCUCCAUCCCCUGCCGUAACUUACAACCGGUACUGUUAAUUGCGUUUUCUGUUAUGGUUUCUGAUAAAACUCAAGGAUGGAGUGGUGAUGCGUUUUCUGUUAUGGAGUAUAAUUCAGUUUUGAUAAGUUUUUGUGAAUUGUUGACUGAUUUUGACUUUUGAGAUGUUUGAUUAUGAUCUAAUUUCAUUAUUAAUUGUCUGAUUC